GCGUGAUAUUGUAAGAUAUCAAACCCUUUAUCGCGACACACCUCCGAGUGGAACCAAGUCAAAGAUAUCAAACGUAAUUUGAAAUUCAACUAUUCUGCGGCACGUAUUAAAUCGGACAGGAUUUUUAUUUAUUGUGUUGCAUUUAAAUAUAUCCUUUUUGUGAAAUGAGGCCUUGGUACUACCUCUUUGUAAAUAUUCAUCUUUAACGAUACCGGAUUGUUGUUUUUAAACCAGAAUUUGUCUAUUGGUAGUGAAAACUAUACCACUAGGCCUACAGGAGAAUUUUUGAAAUUUUUCGAAGGACGUAUAUUACACCCAAUCCUCGUAUAGUAUACGGUAUUUUCAUCAACAUGAGCGGUUUCCCAGGUAACCUUUCAGACAGCCAGAAGGAAAAGCUGAGAAAGUUCAAAGAGAAUGUUUCAGACGUUCUGAAGCCAGAACAUGACGAUGUCAAACUCCUGAAAUUUCUUCGGGCAAGAAGAUUUGACCUGAAGAGAACAGAAAAGAUGUUUAGAAUGGACAUCAAGUGGAGGGAGGAAAAUAAAGUCAGUACUAUACUGGACUGGUACACGAUUCCUAAGGUAUUUGAGAAAUACUGGUGUGGCGGAGUAUGUGGACUGGACAAGGAAGGCCAUGCAGUCUACAUAUCACCUGUUGGAAAUUUCGAUCCCAAAGGUGUCUUAUUUUCAGCCAAGGCAAGUGACAUCCUGAAGACAUAUACACAUGCUAUAGAAUUCCAGAUCAGGAAUCAUCGGCGCUUUACUGAAGAGAAAGGGCUCAAGCAUACUGAGGGAUCUUUGAUGAUCUUUGACAUGGAGAAUCUCGGUGUACACCAUGUAUGGAAACCUGGUAUUGAUAUGUUUAUCAAGACAGCAAUGAUUGCCGAGCAGCAUUAUCCAGAAUUGAUCUACCGUCUCUUCAUAAUCCGAGCGCCCAAGAUCUUCCCGGUCUCCUACUCACUAGUAAAACCCUUCCUUCGCGAGGAUACCAGAAAGAAAAUACAGGUCUUGGGAAGUAAUUGGAAGGAGGUAUUACUGAAGCAUAUCGACGCUGAUCAGCUACCAGUUUACUGGGGAGGAACUAAGACAGAUCCUGAUGGAAACGAGAUGUGUACUUCACUGAUACGAGUGGGUGGCAAAAUUCCAAAGUCCUUUUACUUGAAAGAUCGUGAACCGCCCCAUACCCUGACAGCACACGAGGUGUCACGAGGGGGCGUCAUCGAAUUCAAGUAUGAAGUCAAGAAUCCAAACAGCGUCCUGAGGUAUGAGUUCCAAACGGAUUGUAAUGACAUCAAAUUCGGAUUCGACCGAGUAGACGGCGGUAAAGGAAAGAAGACGGCCAUUUUGAAACUUGAGAAGUAUAACAGUCACAUGGUCCCAGAGAAUGGAGAAAUCAUGAUUGCAGAGCCUGGAACAUACGUUGCUCGCUUUGACAACAGUCACAGUUGGACCAAAUCAAAGAAGCUCUCCUAUUGGUUGGAACUUCUGGAACCGAGUGACGUAGAACCGGAGUUUCAGGAGAUGACAGAAGGAGUCGAUAGCAUCAACCUCAACGAUUAAAUAUUAUACACGACAUCAUGUGGACACGAGAAAAUCUAGAAAAAGAGAAAUGUAAAGAUAUUAUGAAUGCACACGCAAGGGUAAUAUAAAGAAGAAUGCGAACGCCCUGCGCACCAAAUUAUUUUUGCGCGGAAAGCACCUUUAAGUUUAAUGUAAUAGUGCUUACCAAUGCUUAAAAAAAAUAAUAUAUUUACAUUGCAUAUUAUGAAUUAUUCAAGAUGUGAAACGUAUGUUUGCUCCCUGCCUCCCCCCAGGAUCGAUGUCUCUUGUAUGGGGGGGGGGGGGGUGAAUGUGUGGUUGUGUUUUUAUUUACAGUCUGCUUGUCCAUAUUUUGAAUUUAACGUAGGCCUAUAAAAGUAAAAGUCAGUAUAAAUUACGAUUAUAUGUCUAUUGAAAUGACCAUUAUUGUCUGUUU